AUCAAUGAUUAGAGAGGUUUGGCAGACGCGUUGGAUUCAAAAUCCAAUGGUCCUCGUGGCCUUGUGGGUUCGAGUCCCACCUUCGGUACCA
rnacentral:tRNA from 1 species